rnacentral:misc_RNA from 1 species
GUUUACGCUCAUCAUUUCACGCAAUGCAGACCCGACGGUAUCCGCAGUAGGUGUCUUCUCAGGCCAAUUAAACCAUUGAGCGUCUUCGUGGCGCAUGGCGACGAGUACAAAACGAGGCCGCAGUUGGGGAACGCCGUAGUCGUUUGCAUGCAGAAGCUGCCAGUCAGACCAGUAACCCAAGUCCCUGAGGUGGUCUUUCACAUG